rnacentral:lncRNA from 1 species
UGGUGCUGUGCUGACUUACUAACCCAGCCCUACUAACUCUAUUUUCUCUUCUUACUAACCCAGCCCUGCCGAGCUCUGGGU